rnacentral:rRNA from 1 species
AGUGAACGCUGGCGGUAGGCCUAACACAUGCAAGUCGAACGGCAGCACAGUAAGAGCUUGCUCUUACGGGUGGCGAGUGGCGGACGGGUGAGGAAUACAUCGGAAUCUACUUUUUCGUGGGGGAUAACGUAGGGAAACUUACGCUAAUACCGCAUACGACCUACGGGUGAAAGCAGGGGAUCUUCGGACCUUGCGCGAAUGAAUGAGCCGAUGUCGGAUUAGCUAGUUGGCGGGGUAAAGGCCCACCAAGGCGACGAUCCGUAGCUGGUCUGAGAGGAUGAUCAGCCACACUGGAACUGAGACACGGUCCAGACUCCUACGGGAGGCAGCAGUGGGGAAUAUUGGACAGAGGGCGCAAGCCUGAUCCAGCCAUACCGCGUGGGUGAAGAAGGCCUUCGGGUUGUAAAGCCCUUUUGUUGGGAAAGAAAAGCAGCAGGUUAAUACCCCGCUGUUCUGACGGUACCCGAAGAAUAAGCACCGGCUAACUUCGUG